rnacentral:rRNA from 1 species
UACGUAGGUGGCAAGCGUUGUCCGGAAUUAUUGGGCGUAAAGCGCGCGCAGGCGGUCCUUUAAGUCUGAUGUGAAAGCCCACGGCUCAACCGUGGAGGGUCAUUGGAAACUGGGGGGACUUGAGUGCAGAAGAGGAAAGUGGAAUUCCAAGUGUAGCGGUGAAAUGCGUAGAGAUUUGGAGGAACACCAGUGGCGAAGGCGACUUUCUGGUCUGUAACUGACGCUGAGGCGACGAAAGCGUGGGGAGCAAACAGG